GACGAACGCUGGCGGCGCGCCUAACACAUGCAAGUCGAACGGAGCUGAGAGAAGCUUGCUUUUCUUAGCUUAGUGGCGAACGGGUGAGUAACGCGUGAGUAACCUGCCCUGGAGUGGGGGACAACAGUUGGAAACGACUGCUAAUACCGCAUAAGCCCACGAUCCGGCAUCGGAUUGAGGGAAAAGGAUUUAUUCGCUUCAGGAUGGACUCGCGUCCAAUUAGCUAGUUGGUGAGGUAACGGCCCACCAAGGCGACGAUUGGUAGCCGGACUGAGAGGUUGAACGGCCACAUUGGGACUGAGACACGGCCCAGACUCCUACGGGAGGCAGCAGUGGGGAAUAUUGCACAAUGGGGGAAACCCUGAUGCAGCGACGCCGCGUGGAGGAAGAAGGUUUUCGGGUUGUAAACUCCUGUCGUCAGGGACGAUAAUGACGGUACCUAACGAGAAAGCACCGGCUAACUACGUG
rnacentral:rRNA from 1 species